CUGGGCCUGCUGUUACGUCAGAGAAAGGCAGCCAAUCAGAGCAGGACUCUGCCUGUCUCCCGGCUGCAGACAGCUGAAGUAGUAAUAAACAGGGACGCGAGGUUCCGCCUGGGCUCUGAGCUGCAGCCGGCGAGUGUUUUUUCCAGGGCAAAGCCCAGAGGGGCACGAGGACUCAAGGCUGAGUCACAGAUCUGGAACCUCCUGAGGCUUGUACCCUGGCCCCCACGUGGAGCCUUGCCUAAGCCUCCCUUCCACUCAGGACUGCCUACUAAGAAAGGAACCCAGUUUUGAAUCUAGGGAAAUUAUCUGCACUUGUAAAUCAGCUUCAGAACGACUUCUUAUUUUCCAAAGCAGCUGCCCUGAAUUCAGAAUAGGCAAAUUCCUAUUGUUUACCAUCUGAUAAGACUUCUUAAGAUGAGGAGUAGAGCCAAGUGCUGAGGAAGAGAGAAGAACCUGCAGUGGAAGAGUUAGGGGCUCUGUGUCUGUUAGCAUCCUAACCGAGAGAGAAGUCAUGCUGAUGAAGACAGGACUCUGUAGACAGCUAAACCAGGCCAAGUAAAAUGUUGCAGUCUUUGUAACGUUAGCUCUCAUCGCUAACUAAUAUUCUUUAACUUAUUAAAUACUUGGAUGCGUGUGUUGCUGUGUGAUGUGUCGCGCAAAAGACUUCGGCAGUCUUAAAGGAACAUGUCGCAGCAAACUGAGAG
rnacentral:lncRNA from 1 species